rnacentral:rRNA from 1 species
UGCCUACGGGAGGCUGCAGUAGGGAAUAUUGCUCAAUGGGCGAAAGCCUGAAGCAGCAACGCCGCGUGCGCGAUGAAGGUCUUCGGAUCGUAAAGCGCUUUUCUGCGAGAUGAGAAAGGACAGUAUCGUAGGAAUAAGUCUCGGCUAACUACGUGCCAGCAGCCGCGGUAACACGUAGGAGGCGAGCGUUAUCCGGAUUCACUGGGCGUAAAGCGCGUGCAGGCGGUUUGGUAAGUUGGGCGUGAAAGCUCCCGGCUCAACUGGGAGAGGUCGUUCAAUACUACCAGACUAGAGAGCAGAAGAGGAAGAUGGAAUUCCCGGUGUAGUGGUGAAAUGCGUAGAUAUCGGGAGGAACACCAGUGGCGAAGGCGAUCUUCUGGUCUGUUUCUGACGCUCAGACGCGACAGCUAGGGUAGUAAACGGGAUUAGAUACCCGAGUAGUCAG